CAGUAACUGAUGACACGAGGAUUGAAAAUCCUUGUGUCGGUGGUUCGAUUCCGCCCUGGGCCACCA
rnacentral:tRNA from 2 species